CAGCAGCCGCGGGAAUACGUAGGGUGCAAGCGUUAAUCGGAAUUACUGGGCGUAAAGCGUGCGCAGGCGGUUCGUUAAGACAGAUGUGAAAUCCCCGGGCUUAACCUGGGAACUGCAUUUGUGACUGGCGGGCUAGAGUAUGGCAGAGGGGGGUAGAAUUCCACGUGUAGCAGUGAAAUGCGUAGGGAUGUGGAGGAAUACCGAUGGCGAAGGCAGCCCCCUGGGCCAAUACUGACGCUCAUGCACGAAAGCGUGGGGAGCAAACAGGAUUAGAUACCCCUGUAGUCCCUGUCUCUUAUAC
rnacentral:rRNA from 1 species